GUCGUUUUUCUGCUUCUUCGAUGUAGCCACCUUUCUCUCUUACAAAAUCAAAAUACAAUAAACGGAGAGGGGGACCGCAGCCUUAACAGCCAAUUUCUAGGGUUUCUCCGGUAGAUUGAAGGUUAUUAUGUAUAGAACGGCAGCUUCGCGACUUGGAGCUCUCAAGAGCCCUGUUGGCAUUUUGGGGGCUACGCGAUAUGCAACUUCAAGUGCAGUUGCUUCUAGGACAUCCUCACCGGUGUUCUUUAGCUGGCUGACUGGGGAACAUUCUGCUUCUCUUCCUCCUUUGGAUUCCCCAAUUCCUGGUGUUUCCCUUCCACCUCUUCUGCCAGAUUACGUUGAACCAAGCAAGGUUAAGUCAAAGACUCUUGAAAAUGGUGUCAGGAUUGUCUCAGAAGCAUCACCGAAUCCCGCAGCCUCCAUAGGGUUUUAUCUUGAUUGUGGUUCUAUCUAUGAGACACCCAUGUCACGUGGGGCCACACACUUGCUUGAACGGAUGGCAUUCAAGAGCACUAGGAACAGGAGCCACUUGCGCAUUGUUAGGGAAGUGGAGGCAAUUGGGGGUAGUGUUGCUGCUUCAGCCUCUCGGGAGCAAAUGGCUUACACUUUUGAUGCUCUUAAGAGUCAUGUUCCUGAAAUGGUAGAAUUGCUUGUUGACUCUGUGAGAAAUCCUGUCUUCUUGGAUUGGGAAGUCAGUGAAGAGCUCAAGAAGAUUAAAGAUGAACUCGGACAACUCUCUAACAAUCCACAAGGCUUACUGCUGGAGGCAAUACACUCUACUGGGUAUAGCGGUGCAUUGGCGAAUCCUCUUUUGGCUCCUGAAUCAGCACUAAAUCGAUUAGAUGGUGUUAUUUUGGAGGAAUUUGUAUCUGUAAGAACAAAUAAUCCUUGAAUAGUGUGUCCAGGCUACAGAUAUCUUAAUUUAUGCAUUCAAAUUACCAUUAUUAUUGGAUCUAUAUUCUUUCAUCGAUUCUGUUAUUUUUCUCUUACCUCUAUUUUGCUUUUCCUUUAACUGGAUGAUUUUGUAAAUGAAUUUUAGGAGCACUAUACAGCUCCUCGAAUGGUUCUUGCAGCUUCUGGUGUUGAAUUUGAGGAGCUUAUAUCUGUUGCAGAGCCACUGCUUUCUGACCUCCCACGUGUGCAACGUCCUGAAGGGCCAAAAUCUGUGUAUGUUGGUGGGGAUUAUCGUCGCCAAGCUGAUUCAUCGAUGACACAUGUUGCUCUUGCUUUUGAAGUUCCUGGAGGCUGGCAUGAUGAGAAAGAAGCUAUAAUUUUGACUGUUCUUCAGAUGCUUAUGGGAGGUGGUGGGUCAUUCUCCGCAGGGGGCCCUGGAAAAGGGAUGCACUCACGACUGUAUCUCCGAGUCUUGAAUGAGUAUCAACAACUCCAAUCUUUUUCUGCAUUCAACAGUAUCUUCAAUAAGACUGGAUUGUUUGGCAUCCAUGCCAGCACUACCCCAGACUUUGUGCCAAAAGCAGUUGACAUAGCAGUUGGAGAACUAAUUGCAAUUGCAGCACCUGGACAAGGUUCCUUUGCAUCUCUUCACAUUGUUGUGGUUUGAUGAGCUACUUCUGAAGCAACCACCAAGUUGGUGUUAGAGCUCCAUUUCUUAUCAUUUUCGCUUUUUAAUUUUCUGGUGGCAGUUUCCAAGUUACAACUUGAUCGUGCCAAAGAGUCUACAAAAUCUGCUGUGCUGAUGAAUUUGGAAUCUCGAGUAUGUCUCUUUCUUUCUUGAGUUUUACUGAUCUUAUUGCUUGGUGUAUUUGUUGCAUUUGGGCCAAUGCAUUUCUAACUCCUAGAUGAUAGUGGAGUAUUUUUUGAGUUCCUGUGCAUGUACUUCCCAUAGUGGAUGUAACAUUAUUGAAGUAUAUCUACUUCCCCAAUUUUUUAGUUUGUCUUGGUUUCUUUUGUUUGUUGAGGGCUCUUAUAAUUGUUUCAUGACUGCAUUCUGUAGAUGAUUGUGACAGAAGAUUUAGGAAGGCAGUUUUUGACCUACGGAGAAAGGAAGCCUGUUGAACAUUUCUUGAAGGCCUUGGAUGAAAUCACUACCAAGGACAUUACUAACAUUGCACAAAAGAUUCUUUCUUCACCUCUAACAAUGGCGUCUUAUGGAGAUGUUGUUAACGUCCCCAGCUACGAGUAUGUUAGCAGCAAGUUCCAUGCAUAAAUUGACCAAUGAUGGUACAUUGCAAUUUGGCCUUCACUUUGCUAUCAUCAUCGGAUCCUGUGCUCAAAUCAAGCGAUUUCCUUUUCUUGCAUGCUGUCGAAAUAAAAAUGAUUCGGGAAGAAGGUUUUCUGUAGAUGAAAGGAAAUAGGACCCUUCCAAUUCUUUUGGAUUUGACUGAUCAUUUAUUCCAAACCUGGAAGGCUAAGGAGUUUUUGUUUAUGAAUAUCAUCAUAAGAAUUUUGGAAUUUUGCUUGUUCAUGUCAAUGUUACUCCCAAGGAAAAAUGAAAUCCAGCAAUGUGUUCAAUUUGAACUCUCUUCCAGCUCUGUUAUGGGACGUUUAUUUAUCAUUAGCAAAUGAAACCUUACAUCGAC
rnacentral:misc_RNA from 1 species